rnacentral:rRNA from 1 species
UACGUAGGCAGCGAGCGUUGUUCGGAGUUACUGGGCGUAAAGGGUGUGUAGGCGGUUUUUCUAAGUUUGGUGUGAAAUCUCCCGGCUCAACCGGGAGGGUGCGCCGAAAACUGGGAGACUAGAGUGCGGGAUGGGAGAGUAGAAUUCCUGGUGUAGCGGUGAAAUGCGUAGAUAUCAGGAGGAAUACCGGUGGUGUAGACGGCUCUCUGGACCGCCACUGACGCUGAGA